GAUGAACGCUGGCGGCGUGCCUAAUACAUGCAAGUCGAGCGAACAGACGAGGAGCUUGCUCCUCUGACGUUAGCGGCGGACGGGUGAGUAACACGUGGAUAACCUACCUAUAAGACUGGGAUAACUUCGGGAAACCGGAGCUAAUACCGGAUAAUAUAUUGAACCGCAUGGUUCAAUAGUGAAAGACGGUUUUGCUGUCACUUAUAGAUGGAUCCGCGCCGCAUUAGCUAGUUGGUAAGGUAACGGCUUACCAAGGCAACGAUGCGUAGCCGACCUGAGAGGGUGAUCGGCCACACUGGAACUGAUACACGGUCCAGACUCCUACGGGAGGCAGCAGUAGGGAAUCUUCCGCAAUGGGCGAAAGCCUGACGGAGCAACGCCGCGUGAAUGAUGAAGGUCUUCGGAUCGUAAAACUCUGUUAUUAGGGAAGAACAAAUGUGUAAGUAACUAUGCACGUCUUGACGGUACCUAAUCAGAAAGCCACGGCUAACUACGUG
rnacentral:rRNA from 1 species